AAUUUCAGGCUGCAGACUUGAAGUCUUUAGGCUGCAGACACUUCAUUGACAUGCUAAAUUAGAAAACUAGGAGGGAAAGCAGCCCCCCACCUCAAGUGCGAAGCUUCAGCUGAAGUUUUAAAUGGACCUUGGCAGAUAGGCUCUUCCUCUGAAGAACGUUUACACUUCUGUCUGUUCACAGUCAGACAGCACAGUCUAUUUCCAAAGGACUGCUCUGAUGGAUGAGUCUGAAAAAGGACAUAACCCAGUGUUUUCAACAGUUGCAUUGGUAGAGGCAGCCAGAAGGCACGUGCAGCCCAUUAGGAACCUCACAAUACAGAGAGUAUUCACAUUGUAUAUUUAAAGGUUUUUCUUGAAUAUCAAUUAGUCCCAGAAGCAGCUGUACUCAUGGCCAGUUACUGCAUGUAACUGCUUCCUUCAGGGACUCCCUUGCUGCUCUCCUGUGCUGCAGUUUGUUGUGGUCCUGAGUCCCCUCACUAUGAAUGCAGCCACAAUGAUUUCUUCUCCUUCAUCUUCCAUCCUGCCAUGUACUUCAUGACAUCAACCAUAUAUUUUCCUGCUAAUAAUAUCUUUUGUAAAUUUUAUAUAUAUGUCAGUUGCAAAUUGCUCAGAUGCUACACUGAGAGGCACAGAAGUGUCUUUAAGAGAAUCUGCAGCUUUUACUGAAGCAAAACACCAUCUGGAAUAAACAAUAUACUU
ensembl:lncRNA